rnacentral:rRNA from 1 species
GAUGAACGCUGGCGGCGUGCCUAAUACAUGCAAGUCGAGCGAACGGACGAGAAGCUUGCUUCUCUGAUGUUAGCGGCGGACGGGUGAGUAACACGUGGAUAACCUACCUAUAAGACUGGGAUAACUUCGGGAAACCGGAGCUAAUACCGGAUAAUAUUUUGAACCGCAUGGUUCAAAAGUGAAAGACGGUCUUGCUGUCACUUAUAGAUGGAUCCGCGCUGCAUUAGCUAGUUGGUAAGGUAACGGCUUACCAAGGCAACGAUGCAUAGCCGACCUGAGAGGGUGAUCGGCCACACUGGAACUCCGACACGGUCCAGACUCCUACGGGAGGCAGCAGUAGGGAAUCUUCCGCAAUGGGCGAAAGCCUGACGGAGCAACGCCGCGUGAGUGAUGAAGGUCUUCGGAUCGUAAAACUCUGUUAUUAGGGAAGAACAUAUGUGUAAGUAACUGUGCACAUCUUGCCGGUACCUAAUCAGAAAGCCACGGCUAACUACGUG